rnacentral:rRNA from 1 species
UACGUAGGGUGCGAGCGUUGUCCGGAAUUACUGGGCGUAAAGAGCUCGUAGGUGGUUUGUCGCGUUGUCCGUGAAAACUCACAGCUUAACUGUGGGCGUGCGGGCGAUACGGGCAGACUGGAGUACUGCAGGGGAGACUGGAAUUCCUGGUGUAGCGGUGGAAUGCGCAGAUAUCAGGAGGAACACCGGUGGCGAAGGCGGGUCUCUGGGCCGAAACUGACGCUGAGGAGCGAAAGCGUGGGGAGCAAACAGG